GACAGAGGGUGCAAACGUUGUUCGGAAUUACUGGGCGUAAAGCGUGUGUAGGCGGUCUUGUAAGUCGGGUGUGAAAGCCCUGGGCUCAACCCAGGAAGUGCACUCGAUACUGCGAGGCUAGAGUAUCGGAGAGGUUGGUGGAAUUCUCGGUGUAGAGGUGAAAUUCGUAGAUAUCGAGAGGAACACCGGUGGCGAAGGCGGCCAACUGGACGAAUACUGACGCUGAGACACGAAAGCGUGGGGAGCAAACAGG
rnacentral:rRNA from 1 species